GACGAACGCUGGCGGCGUGCUUAACACAUGCAAGUCGAGCGGUAAGGCCCUUUCGGGGGUACGACGAGCGGCGAACGGGUGAGUAACACGUGGGUGGACCUGCCCUUACGCUCUGGGGAGUAAGCCUGGGAAACGUAGGGUCGUAAUACCGGAUAUGACUCCAUAACGCAUGUUGUGGGGUGGAAAGCCUUGUGCGGCUAGGGAUGGGCCCGCGGCCUAUCAGCUUGUUGGUGGGGUGAUGGCCUACCAAGGCGACGA
rnacentral:rRNA from 1 species